GAUGAAGAACGUAGCGAAAUGCGAUAAGUAGUGUGAAUUGCAGAAUUCAGUGAAUCAUCGAAUCUUUGAACGCACAUUGCGCCCCUUGGUAUUCCAUGGGGCAUGCCUGUUCGAGCGUCAUUUGUACCUUCAAGCUUUGCUUGGUGUUGGGUGUUUGUCCCGAGGGACUCGCCUUAAAGUAAUUGGCAGCCAGUGUUUGGUUUUGAAGCGCAGCACAAGUCGCGAUUCAAGGCUACACGCCCGCUUCCACGAGCCUUUUUUCACUUUUGACCUCGGAUCAGGUAGGGAUACCCGCUGAACUUAAGCAUAUCAAUAAGCGGAGGA
rnacentral:misc_RNA from 1 species